CCUACGGGAGGCAGCAGUCGGGAAUAUUGCGCAAUGGAGGAAACUCUGACGCAGUGACGCCGCGUGCAGGAAGAAGGCUUUCGGAUUUGAAACUGCUUUAGAUAGGGGAGAAAAAAGACAGUACCUGUAGAAUUAGCUCCGGCUAACUACGUGCCAGCAGCCGCGGUAAUACGUAGGGAGCAAACGUUAUCCGGAUUUAUUGGGUGUAAAGGGUGCGUAGACGGAGAAGCAAGUUAGUUGUGAAAUCCCUCGGCUUAACUGAGGAACUACAACUAAAACUACUUCCCUUGAGUACUGGAGAGGAAGGUGGAAUUCCUGGUGUAGCGGUGAAAUGCGUAGAUAUUAGGAAGAACACCAGUGGCGAAGGCGACUUUCUAGACAGUAACUGACGUUGAGGCACGAAAGUGUGGGGAGCAAACAGGAUUAGAUACCCUGGUAGUC
rnacentral:rRNA from 1 species